AGCUCUCGUCUCUUUUUUUGAAUGAAGGAAACUCUCCCCCUCUUCUUCCCCAACUCAGCAGUAGUGAGGUCGGGCUAAUGACUUGUGGGGGUGGCCAACAGCGGUGGCAGACAUCUGUCUAGGCAUAUCCUCCAGUGAAUAUCCUGAUGACAAUAGCAACGACGGACGGUAAUAGCCAGAAAUAGAGGAAAGUUGAGGUAUUCUAGCUCAUCGACUGAUGGUCGAGGCUUCACUAUGAUGGCAGAGCACUCAUAUAAGCCCUCCGAUCGAAAACCUCAACCCAAAUCUCAAAGAAUCAAGUGGAGGA
rnacentral:lncRNA from 1 species